GUCCUUACAAAGAAGAUCCUAGCCUUUCCUGAAAACAUUUCUAUAGAAUAAACAGGUAAUAAUUAAAAGAGUGAAAGUCCUGGAAUUAAGGGCAGUUAGGGAAACCUUCUUGUAGAAGGCAGAACUUUAGUUGGGACUUAAAGGAAACCAUAGAGAUCAGCAGAUAGAACAUUCUAGGUAUGGGGGACAACCAGAGAAAAGACCUGGAGCAGAGAAAUGGAGUGUCUUGCUCUUGGAGCAAGAAAGAAGCCAAUGUCACUGGAUCAAGGAGUACCUGCUGGGAGUAUGGAUACCAUGAAGGUUGAUAUCUGUCCUCAUCUAUAAGACUUAGAAGAGCACUAUAUACAGAGCAGCAGUUUUUAUAAAGUUUCCCCCAGAAGGUCACUCUGUAGGAGUCUGAGAUCAAGUCCACUGAUUGCUUCUGAUAAUCUACUCUUGGAAGAGGACUGUCCAGCAGUCUCCCCUGGGAGCUAGCCUCCCCACCACCUAAGAUACAGAAAAAGCAUGGAUGCAUUACGACUUUUGAAAUGAAGAAAUUAAAAAAUGUCCUUCCACCCAUCAGCCAGAGCUUUGAAAUCU